rnacentral:rRNA from 1 species
UACGUAGGGGGCAAGCGUUGUUCGGAAUUACUGGGCGUAAAGCGCGUGUAGGCGGCUGUGCAAGUCGGAUGUGAAAUCCCGUGGCUCAACCACGGAAGUGCACCCGAAACUGCGCAGCUGGAGUCUCGGAGAGGAAGGUGGAAUGCUUGGUGUAGAGGUGAAAUUCGUAGAUAUCAAGCGGAACACCGGUGGCGAAGGCGGCCUUCUGGACGAUGACUGACGCUGAGACGCGAAAGCGUGGGGAGCAAACAGG